rnacentral:rRNA from 1 species
GGACGAGAAGCUUGCUUCUCUGAUGUUAGCGGCGGACGGGUGAGUAACACGUGGAUAACCUACCUAUAAGACUGGGAUAACUUCGGGAAACCGGAGCUAAUACCGGAUAAUAUUUUGAACCGCAUGGUUCAAAAGUGAAAGACGGUCUUGCUGUCACUUAUAGAUGGAUCCGCGCUGCAUUAGCUAGUUGGUAAGGUAACGGCUUACCAAGGCAACGAUGCAUAGCCGACCUGAGAGGGUGAUCGGCCACACUGGAACUGAGACACGGUCCAGACUCCUACGGGAGGCAGCAGUAGGGAAUCUUCCGCAAUGGGCGAAAGCCUGACGGAGCAACGCCGCGUGAGUGAUGAAGGUCUUCGGAUCGUAAAACUCUGUUAUUAGGGAAGAACAUAUGUGUAAGUAACUGUGCACAUCUUGACGGUACCUAAUCAGAAAGCCACGGCUAACUACGUGCCAGCAGCCGCGGUAAUACGUAUGUGGCAAGCGUUAUCCGGAAUUAUUGGGCGUAAAGCGCGCGUAGGCGGUUUUUUAAGUCUGAUGUGAAAGCCCACGGCUCAACCGUGGAGGGUCAUUGGAAACUGGAAAACUUGAGUGCAGAAAGAGGAAAGUGGGAUUCCAUGUGUAGCGGUGAAAUGCGCAGAGAUAUGGAGGAACACCAGUGGCGAAGGCGACUUUCUGGUCUGUAACUGACGCUGAUGUGCGAAAGCGUGGGGAUCAAACAGGAUUAGAUACCCUGGUAGUCCACGCCGUAAACGAUGAGUGCUAAGUGUUAGGGGGUUUCCUCCCCUUAGUGCUGCAGCUAACGCAUUAAGCACUCCGCCUGGGGAGUACGACCGCAAGGUUGAAACUCAAAGGAAUUGACGGGGACCCGCACAAGCGGUGGAGCAUGUGGUUUAAUUCGAAGCAACGCGAAGAACCUUACCAAAUCUUGACAUCCUUUGACAACUCUAGAGAUAGAGCCUUCCCCUUCGGGGGACAAAGUGACAGGUGGUGCAUGGUUGUCGUCAGCUCGUGUCGUGAGAUGUUGGGUUAAGUCCCGCAACGAGCGCAACCCUUAAGCUUAGUUGCCAUCAUUAAGUUGGGCACUCUAAGUUGACUGCCGGUGACAAACCGGAGGAAGGUGGGGAUGACGUCAAAUCAUCAUGCCCCUUAUGAUUUGGGCUACACACGUGCUACAAUGGACAAUGCAAAGGGCAGCGAAACCGCGAGGUCAAGCAAAUCCCAUAAAGUUGUUCUCAGUUCGGAUUGUAGUCUGCAACUCGACUACAUGAAGCUGGAAUCGCUAGUAAUCGUAGAUCAGCAUGCUACGGUGAAUACGUUCCCGGGUCU